CCUACGGGACGCAGCAGUGAGGAAUAUUGGUCAAUGGCCGAGAGGCUGAACCAGCCAAGUCGCGUGAGGGAUGACGGCCCUACGGGUUGUAAACCUCUUUUGUCGGGGAGCAAGACCCGCCACGAGUGGCGGAGCGAGAGUACCCGAAGAAAAAGCAUCGGCUAACUCCGUGCCAGCAGCCGCGGUAAUACGGAGGAUGCGAGCGUUAUCCGGAUUUACUGGGUGUAAAGGGAGCGUAGACGGCUGUGCAAGUCUGAAGUGAAAUGCCGGGGCUCAACCCCGGAACUGCUUUGGAAACUGUACAG
rnacentral:rRNA from 1 species